GUGGGGAAUAUUGGGCAAUGGGCGAAAGCCUGACCCAGCAACGCCGCGUGAAGGAAGAAGGCCUUCGGGUUGUAAACUUCUUUUAUGAGGGACGAAGGAAGUGACUGUACCUCAUGAAUAAGCCACGGCUAACUACGUGCCAGCAGCCGCGGUAAUACGUAGGUGGCAAGCGUUGUCCGGAUUUACUGGGUGUAAAGGGCGCGUAGGCGGACUGGCAAGUCAGAUGUGAAAUCCAUGAGCUCAACUCAUGAACUGCAUUUGAAACUGUUGGUCUUGAGUAUCGGAGAGGCAAGCGGAAUUCCUAGUGUAGCGGUGAAAUGCGUAGAUAUUAGGAGGAACACCAGUGGCGAAGGCGGCUUGCUGGACGACAACUGACGCUGAGGCGCGAAAGCGUGGGGAGCAAACAGGAUUAGAAACCCGUGUAGUCC
rnacentral:rRNA from 1 species